rnacentral:rRNA from 1 species
AUUGAACGCUGGCGGCAUGCCUUACACAUGCAAGUCGAACGGCAGCGGGGACUUCGGUCCGCCGGCGAGUGGCGAACGGGUGAGUAAUGUAUCGGAACGUACCUUUCAGUGGGGGAUAACGUAGCGAAAGUUACGCUAAUACCGCAUAUUCUCUGAGGAGGAAAGCAGGGGACCUUCGGGCCUUGUGCUGAUGGAGCGGCCGAUAUCAGAUUAGCUAGUUGGUGAGGUAAAGGCUCACCAAGGCGACGAUCUGUAGCGGGUCUGAGAGGAUGAUCCGCCCCACGGGGACUGAGACACGGCCCAGACUCCUACGGGAGGCAGCAGUGGGGAAUUUUGGACAAUGGGCGCAAGCCUGAUCCAGCCAUGCCGCGUGAGUGAAGAAGGCCUUCGGGUUGUAAAGCUCUUUCGGACGGGAAGAAAUUGGUGGGGCUAAUAUCCCCAUCGGAUGACGGUACCGUAAUAAGAAGCACCGGCUAACUACGUGCCAGCCGCCGCUGUAAGAC